GACGAACGCUGGCGGCGUGCUUAACACAUGCAAGUCGAACGAAGAGCGAUGGAAGCUUGCUUCUAUCAAUCUUAGUGGCGAACGGGUGAGUAACGCGUAAUCAACCUGCCCUUCAGAGGGGGACAACAGUUGGAAACGACUGCUAAUACCGCAUACGAUCCAACCUCGGCAUCGAGGAUGGAUGAAAGGUAGCCUCUAUUUAUAAGCUAUCACUGAAGGAGGGGAUUGCGUCUGAUUAGCUAGUUGGAGGGGUAACGGCCCACCAAGGCGAUGAUCAGUAGCCGGUCUGAGAGGAUGAACGGCCACAUUGGGACUGAGACACGGCCCAGACUCCUACGGGAGGCAGGCAGUGGGGAAUCUUCCGGCAAUGGACGAAAGUCUGACGGAGCAACGCCGCGUGAGUGAU
rnacentral:rRNA from 1 species